AGAAUUUCCUCUAAGGAAAUAGAAUUUCCUCAAAGGAAAUAGAAUUUCCUCAAAGGAAAUAAUUAUGCAGCAAAUUCCCUAAGGGAAAUCUUUUUCCCUUGAGGAAAAAUCUUUUUCCUUCAGGGAAAUUUGAUUUCCCUUGAGGAAAAGUACUUUUCCUCUGAGGAAAUUGUUGAAAAAAGGGGCAUAACUUUUUCAACAGUGGUGCUAGAUCCAAAAAAAUUUAGGACAAAUAUCAGGGAACCAAUACCAACCAAGUUAUCAACUUUGUUUUGACUUAACUCCAAAAAUUAAGGUGACAACUUUUGCACUCAGCGGAAUUGCAAACUUGUCCCGGAGACUGUU
rnacentral:lncRNA from 1 species